rnacentral:misc_RNA from 1 species
AUAGGCCACAAUCUCCAUCCCAAGUUUCACCUGCUGAAGCUGCUGGCAUUAUUUCUGCCUUGAAAGACAAAAGUGUUGAUGAGUUACGAAAGCUUUUGUCGGACAAGGAUGCAUAUAAUCAGUUCUUCCUUUCACUUGACCAGGUCAAAAUUCAGAACAAUCUAAGAGAUGAGCUGCGUAAGGAAACUCUUCAGCUUGCUAGUGAGAACUUGGAAAAGGAACCACGCAUCAUGGAACUCAGAAACCAGUGCAGAAUUAUUCGGACAACUGAACUGGCUGCGGCCAAGGAGAAGCUAAAUGAACUUGAUCAAAAGAAAGAGGAGAUUUUGAACCUCUGUUCUCCUGCCUCACUUCUCCGAAGGCUUCAAGAGAGUAUGAAGGAGACGGAAGAGGAGUCGGACAAUCUUCACAGGCAGCUCCUUGACAGAGAGAUAGAUUUGGGUUCUUUUACCCACAAAUACAAGAAGCUGCGUAUGAAUUACCACCGGCGUGCUCUCAUUCAACUUGCUGCAAAAACCACCUGAAACUAAACGGCGGAGUAGUGACAGUGGCAGUCAAUGUAUAUUCUUACAGAUAAAAAUUUACUGCUUUACUGCUUAUGCAACUGCUACAAACUCUUCUUUUUCAGGGGUAGAGGUUGAAAUCAUUUGAAUUCCAGAUGGGUUUUCUACCAAGUUUG